CCUACGUGAGGCAGCAGUGAGGCAUCUUGGUCAAUGGGCGCGAGCCUGAACCAGCCAAGUAGCGUGAAGGAUGACUGCCCUACGGGUUGUAAACUUCUUUUAUAAAGGAAUAAAGUGAGGCACGUGUGCCUUUUUGUCUGUACUUUAUGAAUAAGGAUCGGCUAACUCCGUUCCAGCAGCCGCGGUAAUACGGAGGAUCCGAGCGUUAUCCGGAUUUAUUGGGUUUAAAGGGAGCGUAGAUGGGUUGUUAAGUCAGUUGUGAAAGUUUGCGGCUCAACCGUAAAAUUGCAAUUGAUACUGGCAGUCUUGAGUACAGUUGAGGUAGGAGGAAUUCGUGGUGUAGCGGUGAAAUGCUUAGAUAUCACGAAGAACUCCGAUUGCGAAGGCAGCUUACUAAACUGCCACUGACAUUGAUGCUCGAAAGUGUGGGUAUCAAACAGGAUUAGAUACCCUAGUAGUC
rnacentral:rRNA from 1 species